GACGAACGCUGGCGGCGUGCUUAACACAUGCAAGUCGAACGAUGAAGCGGGUGCUUGCACUCGUGGAUUAGUGGCGAACGGGCGAGUAACACGUGAGUAACCUGUCCUUUUCUUUGGGAUAACGGCUGGAAACGGCUGCUAAUACUGGAUAUUCAGGCUGCAUCGCAUGGUGUGGUUUGGAAAGGUUUUUUCUGGGAUUGGGUGGGCUCGCGGCCUAUCAGCUUGUUGGUGGGGUGAUGGCUUACCAAGGCUUUGACGGGUAGCCGGCCUGAGGGGGUGGUCGGUCGCACUGGGACUGAGAUACGGCCCAGACUCCUACGGGAGGCAGCAGUGGGGAAUAUUGCACAAUGGACGAAAGUUUGAUGCAGCGACGCCGCGUGGAGGGUGUAGGCCUUCGGGUUGUGAACUCCUUUUUCUCGCGAAAAAGGCACAGUUUUGGCUGUGUUGAUGGUAGUGGGGGAAGAAGCGCCGGCUAACUACGUG
rnacentral:rRNA from 1 species